GUGCCAGCCGACGCGGUAAGACGAACCGUGCGAACGUUGUUCGGAAUCACUGGGCUUAAAGGGCGCGUAGGCGGACCAUCAAGUCAGGAGUGAAAGCCCACGGCUCAACCGUGGAAGAGCCUUUGAUACUGUGUGUCUGGAGGGAGGUAGGGGCGUGCGGAACUUCCGGUGGAGCGGUGAAAUGCGUAGAUAUCGGAAGGAACACCGGUGGCGAAAGCGGCACGCUGGACCCUUUCUGACGCUGAGGCGCGAAAGCCAGGGGAGCAAACGGGAUUAGAUACCCCGGUAGUCCUGGCCCUAAACGAUGUCCACUAGAUCGUGGCACCUCUGACGGUGUCAUGGUCGGAGCAAAAGUGUUAAGUGGACCGCCUGGGAAGUACGGUCGCAAGGCUAAAACUCAAAGGAAUUGACGG
rnacentral:rRNA from 1 species